UAAGAGCUCAUCACCGACGACGAUCGGGUAGUUUGGUCUGAGAGGAUGAUCAGCCACACUGGGAUUGAGAACGGCCCAGACUCCUACGGGGGGCAGCAGUGAGGUAUUUUCUUCAAUGGGGGAAACCCUGAACGAGCAACGCCGCGUGCAGGAAGACACUUUUCGGAGCGUAAACUGCUUUUCUCGGGGACGAGUAAGGACGGUACCCGAGGAAUCAGCCCCGGCUAACUACGUGCCAGCAGCCGCGGUAAUACGUAGGGGGCGAGCGUUGUCCGGAGUUACUGGGCGUAAAGCGCACGCAGGCGGUCUGGUAAGUUUGGAGUGACAAUAUCGGCUUAAACUAAGAAGGGUCUUCGAAGACUGCCCGACUUGAGGGCUUCAGAGGGACACGGAAUUCCGGGUGGAGUGGUGAAAUG
rnacentral:rRNA from 1 species